AACAAAGGCAGAGGUUAAGAGUAAUUCAGGCUUUUCCUUGCAUGUCAUGUAGCUGAUACCUGCUGUCUUGUGUGGUCUCCUGGUUGUCUGGGCUGUUGUCAGCUGCAUGAGUGUUACUGCCUGCUACACAGAUUUCCUCAGACGGACGUGAUCUGACAUCACAUCUGUUAGUCUGACGUCUGUCCACAGUCGAAGACUCUAUGACUGAAGCAAAAAUGUCUUUAAACGCCGCCAGAGAGCGUUUGACAGUCUGAGGAGUGAUCAGUGACUUUGCUGUCAAAGGAGGCACUGGAGCUCCUCCUAGAGGUUCAGGCCUCUUGGGAUGAAGCUGCUGAGGCUUUGAGGACAUGUUCUCCAAAUCUUCAGCUACAUUGUUGACAUGCCACCAUCCGCCCAGGGCUCUCCUUCUCCAUUUGGCUGAAUCUGCUUCCGUGAGCCGCUCCUUAAGUCGACUUUGCGACACGGGCACUUUUGGUGUGACUGAUAGUUUUCCAAUAGGAUCGUGCUGAUAUCAGUCUGACUCUGAAAAACCCCACACAGGGAAACAUUGGGAGAUACACAUGUUACGUCUGGAGAAAGGGAGACAUAAUCAGAUCGAAAACAGUGAUGUUCAAAGUAAGUUUCUCGGGUGCCAUUGUCUAGAUAUUGAACUUUGGUUUUAUUAUAUUAAUUUCCUCUUUAUGAUAGAAUGAACUUUAAUGUCCUCUUGUUUAACCUUCACCCAGGAGUACCCGAAGCUAGCGUGCAGCUAACAGGCUGCACUCUGCUGGGACAGGACAAAGGACAAAGGCAUUAUGUUGGUUUUUCUGAAUCUUUGGUUUUUAUUUAGCCUUUUCUCUAUUUUUUUUCAAUGAGUCUUAGCUGCACACAGCCUUUGAAACACAUGUUCAACAAGAAGCCACAGAAACCUUUAUCACAUUAAAGUCUCAUUGUUUCUGUACAGAUUUUCAUGUAUUCACAUGUGUUUGGCUCCCAGAGUGUCGAUUCCUCCUUCUGUCUCAUCUUCCUCUGUUCUCUGUUACCUGGUCUUUCAGAGUACUGUUAGGGUGAUAUUCUGCCAAGUGUGAAGUUGAUGAGCUUCACAGUUACAACAGGUUAACAUGUCUGAAUAACAUGAUGAAAGUACAAGCAUGAACAUUUUAAACAUGUUUUUAUAUUUAUUUAUAUUUCAACAAUAUGUUUUAAUCCAGCAGUUUAAGGUCGGGCUCAGACUAAAGUCUGUGCUAAGACGACACCAUUGCAAAAUGUUCAUUUAGUUUUUCAGAGGUGGGCUUUCUGCAUCAUUACCCUGUUGCAUAAUCUGAGUGAGCUAAAGGGCAUGAACUGAUAGCUUCAUAUUCUCCUUCAGGAUUAUCAGAUAGGGAGCAGAAUUCAUGUUCAUCAAGUGAGACAAAUUGUCCAGAAGCAGCAAAGCAGCCCAGACCAUCACACUACAACCGCCAUGUUUGACUGUUGGUAUGAUGUUCUUUUUAUGAAAUGCUGUUAUUUUCAGUGCAGAUGUAAGGGGACUAAGACUUUCCAGAAAGAU